rnacentral:rRNA from 1 species
GCUGAACGCUGGCGGCGUGCCUAAUACAUGCAAGUCGAACGCGAGAGGAGGGAGCUUGCUCCCUCUGAUCGAGUGGCGGACGGGUGAGUAACACGUAGGCAACCUGCCCAUCAGUCCGGGAUAACCGCGGGAAACCGUGGCUAAUACCGGAUGAUCCUCCCCACCGCGGGGUGGGGAGUUGAAAGACGGUUUCGGCUGUGCCUGAUGGUGGGGUCUGCGGCGCAUUAGCUGGUUGGCGGGGUAACGGCCCACCAAGGCAACGAUGCAUAGCCGACCUGAGGGGGUGAUCGGCCACAUUGGGACUGAGACACGGCCCAAACUCCUACGGGAGGCAGCAGUAGGGAAUCUUCCGCAAUGGGCGAAAGCCUGACGGAGCAAUGCCGCGUGAGUGAAGAAGGCCUUCGGGUCGUAAAACUCUGUUAUAAGAGAAGAACAAAUUGUAGAGUAACUGCUACAGUCUUGACGGUAUCUUAUCAGAAAGCCACGGCUAACUACGUGCCAGCAGCCGCAGUAA